AUUGAACGCUGGCGGCAGGCCUAACACAUGCAAGUCGAGAGGAGCGGCGGACGGGUGAGUAAUGCCUAGGAAUCUGCAUGGUAGUUGGGGAUAGAGUCCGGAAACGGGCGAUAAUACCGCAUACCAUCAGAUGAACAAAUAUGGGAUUAGCUUGUAGGUAAGGUAACGGCUUACCUAGGCGACGAUCCCUAGAUGGUCUGAGAGGGUGAUAAGCCACACUGGGGCUGAGACACGGCCCAGACUCCUACGGGAGGCAGCAGUGGGGAAUAUUGCACAAUGGGCGCAAGCCUGAUGCAGCCAUGCCGCGUGUAUGAAGAAGGCCUUCGGGUUGUAAAGUACUUUCAGUCGGGAGGCGUUACCGACAGAAGAAGCACCGGCUAACUCCGUGCCAGCCGCCGCGGUAAUUC
rnacentral:rRNA from 1 species